rnacentral:lncRNA from 1 species
GAAGACACCAAUUUGAGAGUAAUAUUUUCAAGAUUUAUAGGGGCACCAUGAUCUUGUGAUUAUGUGUGUGCCAAUCACAGGUUUCACAACAACACCUUCUAGACCACUGGAGAGGUGUCUAGAAGUCUUCAGUCAUCAAUCCUAACCUAAGACCCCAUUCUAUCCCCCCUGCCUAGAGAUGAGAAGAGUUUGAAACUUAUGCUAAGAUGGUCUCCCCGCCUCCCGCCCAGGGCACUAGACUACCAUCUUCUAAUUUUGCUGGCAUUCCAAAUAAAUCUUUUUCCUUACCCAAC